rnacentral:rRNA from 1 species
GAUGAACGCGGGCGGCGUGCCUAAUACAUGCAAGUCGAGCGAAUGACGAGGAGCUUGCUCCUCUGAUUUAGCGGCGGACGGGUGAGUAACACGUGGGUAACCUGCCUGUAAGACGGGGAUAACUCCGGGAAACCGGAGCUAAUACCGGAUGAUAACGAGAAGCGCCUGCUUCUUUUUUGAAAGUCGGUUUCGGCUGACGCUUACAGAUGGGCCCGCGGCGCAUUAGCUAGUUGGUGAGGUAACGGCUCACCAAGGCGACGAUGCGUAGCCGACCUGAGAGGGUGAUCGGCCACACUGGGACUGAGACACGGCCCAGACUCCUACGGGAGGCAGCAGUAGGGAAUCUUCGGCAAUGGACGAAAGUCUGACCGAGCAACGCCGCGUGAGCGAUGAAGGCCUUCGGGUCGUAAAGCUCUGUUGUCAGAGAAGAACAAGUACCGGAGUAACUGCCGGUACCUUGACGGUACCUGACCAGAAAGCCACGGCUAACUACGUGCCAGCCGCCGCAGUAACAC